UCUGGAAAUGUUUGUUUUUGUAGGAGUUUGUUUAACUCAGUCUGGAAAUUGCUGUAAUAAAGGUUCACCAUGAAACAAUCAAGAUCAGCUUUAAAGUCUUCUGCAGAGGUGUGUGUGUGUUGUACUUCUUUUUUAGUGAGGACCACUUUGAGUUUUAGACCAAAAGAGUGAUGACAUUGUGUCUUCUGUCCUCAGCCUCUUAAAGGCCAGUUUGAAAGUUGUGACAGGUUAAAGGUUUGAAUCAGGUAUUGUGUGUGUGGUUGCAGUUGUGGUGAUGGAUGUGAGAAAGACAAAAAGUAAAGUUUUGGGGGUCGGGGCAGCACUUAACAGAUUUUUACCAAAUCUGAAUUGUAACUGUAAAGCUGUAAAGACAAUUAUUAAGUGCUUUAGAUAAAAGAGUUAUAUUUACUUAAUAUAUAACUGCAGUCUAAUAACCACUUACUUUCUGCUUCCAGCACAAAAUGCCUGUAUAUUACAUACGAUUAUACCAAUUAUAAAACACUUACAUCUGUCCAAACUUUUUUUUUUACAUUUUUUUCUCAUACAUAAAACUUUAACUAGACAUCAAUCAUUAUUAUUAAUCAGUAAUCAAUCAAACUAAUAUAUCAAAAUGUCACUACUGAAUGUAAUUGAGGGUUUUUUUAAUAUCAUGUGUGAUGGGAGUUGUUGAGAUUGUUUCAUUUAUUAGUUUAAUUUAUUGAUGAUCUUAACGGCCAUGAUCAAGAAAUUUUACCUCCUUAGUUCUAUAAAUGAUGUGUAGAUGGUACUGUCUGAUUGAGUACGAAUUAAAGCCUGCAUCACAGAAACACUUCGUACAUUGCAGCCAAAAACAACCCAUAAUUCUCUGUGUACUAGUGGUACAAUAAAAGAAGGAGCACAAUACAAGAUAUAUUUGAUUACGGCAAUAAAAAAAUAGAUGAAGAUCAACAGAGUCGGACUAGUCACAUGAAAUGUGAUGAAUAAUUUGAUUAAUAAUAAUAAAUAAUUAUGUGAUGGCAAAGUAGGAUAAUGAAACAAUAAAAGCAACGUUCAAUGAUCCAAGUUAGAAAGGGACCAACCUCUUUAAAGAGGGUUGAGUCUUGUCUGCUGAAGUGUAAAGACCCUGACACACCAAGCUGACGGUCGGCUGUUAGUCAGUGUCAGGCUGUUAGUGAGAAUCUGUCGCCCUAGUCUUUGCAGUAUGUCCCGCACCGUUGGCCGUCGUCAGAUUCAGCAUGUUAAAACGGCUCUUAUUGUCAGUUCAGCUCAGUGCACAAGAAGAGAAACGGAAGUGAGGAAAGUAAACAAACAGCUAAAGUCAAGAGGAAGUGAGAUCAAAACAAACUUGUUACGUAAGGUCAGAUUAUUUUCUUUAGCCAUUGAGCUCCUCUGCAGAAACAUUUCCUGAUGGUUUGUUUUUGUUCACCGGGGCACGGUAAAUAUCAUUUGUUCUUGUUCUGUGUUAUUAAUGAGCUAACCGGCUAACUAGCGUCUUCUAUUCGACCUGUCUGUCUUCCAGUUUCCCUUUUUAAAUUAAGUUUAUGGACUAUCGCCGUCUACUGCUGUGGAGAAUUAUUUCCUCUCAUACAGGCUCAAAACGUUUGUGCUGGUUGGCUGUUGGUUGUAAUCUUGACGAUGUGCAAUCUUGACAUUCCCUAGUUUGGUGUGUUUGGGCCAUAAGGACAAAACAUCACAGUCACCCUCUGUAAUCAGGUGAUAAUCAGGUAACUUGAAACGACCAGGAGAGUCCUGAUUGAAGAUUUUAGGAAGAGAUUAAAAUACCUGUAGUGUAACUUGUAAUUUGACAAUGAAGUGACCAAAACAUCAUCAACAGAAUCUUAAAUUAUCAAAGUGACAGGCAGCUAAUGAAGAAUGAAAGUUUGUUUGUGUUCUCCUUUAAUUAGUUGAAAUCCAAACAGCACCAUGUUUAAAAAAAAUUGAAGACAAGUGACUUCUGACUGAUUCCUUAAUAAAGAGAACUAUGAUCGUCCAGACGAAAUGAGAUUAAACCAUUUCAUACUUACUCACCAUCUGUGGUUGUUAAAAACAACUAAAUCUGACUGAUGAUCCUCAGCUGAAGGAAACAAGAUGGCUCCUCCACUGUCACUUUUUAAUUUCCAGACAAAGUGUUGAAAUACCUGCUAGCAGGUGGUCAGUUAAUCACAGGGUCGGUGGUUUGAUCCCCGGCUCCUCCUGUCCACAUGUCCAAGUGUCCUUGAGCAAAACACUGAAGCCCAAAUUGCUCCUGAUGGUCAGACAGCAGCUUGCAUGGUAGCUGGCUGACAUCAGUGUGUGAAUGAGUGAAUGAGGAAGAUAUAAAGUGCUAUAUAAAUGUAGUCCAUUUACCAAAUAUGAUCCUGCAGCUUGUAGUUGUUAAAGGUCCUAACUGAGCUCCACAUGGACAUUAACAGAAACAUGAGACUUCACUGAACUAAAGCCUGCUGUCACGCUGUCAAAGAAAUGUGAAUAUUUUGGAGCUAAAGUGAAAUAUAAUGGGACUUAUUGUUUAUUUUGAUAUUGAUCAUUGGGACAAACAUGUACUGCUUCUUUUUAUUGGUUAAGGUGCUAAGCCAGAGUCUGUCAGCUACAGUUACACACUGAACUAUACACUCAGUGUCCACUUUAUUAGGUACACUGUUGUUGACUGUCAUAUUUAGAAGCUCAUGCAUGUUUCUGUUGUUCUCUGAUGAUGCUCUUGCAGGUAUCAUGUAAUUUCAGGCAGAGCUUCAUCAUUUCUGUUCAAACGUUUGAAUAAAACAUCAAAAAUGUCAAA